UCUCAGGUAGUAUAGUGGUUAGUAUUCGCGCCUGUCAAAGUAGGAGUUCAACUCUAGAUCGCGCGAGACCGGGGUUCAAUUCCCCGCCUGAGAG
rfam:Sphaerobolus stellatus SS14 unplaced genomic scaffold SPHSTscaffold_51, whole genome shotgun sequence.